UGUUACAAGGCAAGAUUCACAGUGGCUAAUCCAAGUCAGACACUGCUCUCGGGGUGAGCCACUCUUCGGGACCCCCGGUUUCAACAUGGCAGCCAACAGUCGCUCCCAGUUAGCCGCGACACUCGCAUAGGUCACCAGUCCCACCUCAAAAUGAACAAAUGCUGGCUUUGGUCUUCAAAUGCACGCUUCUGUUUCUCCAAAGCUUAGCUUUCUCAGAAAAGAAGUCCGUGGCUAUGCAACAACAUGCAGUUUGUUGUCUCAACUCGUCUCUUCAACUGUGUCAGAACGUACAUGCAUUUUAAGCUUACUGGAUCAGCUCUCAGGGGUGUUUGUCCUUCACCUCCUGUCCCCACUGAGGGUGACGAUCACUGUGCCACACGUUCCUCACCAGGAGGGCACACGCACUGCUCAGGGGAAGGCGUUUUUGACAUUCUGACUGCAGCCACUACAUAACUGCAUCUAAUAAAGUCGGUUAACUGGUAACUUUUAAUAAAGAGAUGCUUAAAUUGAAUUUGUUUCCAUUAGGAUUAAUUUUACUUUGAAAGCCUAUUUUAGAAAAUCAUAUUUGUACUUGAC
rnacentral:lncRNA from 1 species